AGCUAUAAACCCUAAAGACAAAGAAAAUGGAAGAGAAGAGAACUUCAAAAAAAUGAACUGCCAAUGAAUUUGAGAUAGAAUGAAAAUAGAUGAAGAAAACCACAAAGCAGAGAAAUUGAACAGCAAAGAUCUAUGGAACGGGCACAGAGGCAUAAGAAACCUCAGGGAAGAGCAUGAAGAUCAGUUCACCACCAUCUUGAGGUGUCCCUGGUGGCUUAGUGGUAAAGAAUCUGCCUGCCAAGGCAGGAGACAUGGGUUCGACUCCUGGGUGGGGAAGAUCCUCUGGAGAAGAAAAUGGCAACCCACUUCAGUAUUCUUGCCUGGGAAAUCCCACAGACAGAAGAGCCUGGUGGUCUACAAUCUAUGGGUCACAGAGAGUCGGACAUAAACAAC